GGGGAUUUGGCUCAGUGGUAGAGUGCUUGCCUAGCAAGCGCAAGGCCCUGGGUUCGGUCCCCAGCUCCA
rfam:Rattus norvegicus chromosome 4, whole genome shotgun sequence.